CUAUGUAUUCGUUUUAAGUAUAUACAGAAUUCUAUUCAGUUAACAAACAUAUUCCUUAUCAUUCUAUCUUUCAAAAUGUUUAUGUAUGCAAAAUAAUGAAUAAUUACAGUUAUUAAAUAUACG
rnacentral:sRNA from 1 species